rnacentral:rRNA from 1 species
UACGAGGGGGGCAAGUGUUGUUCGGAAUCACUGGGCGUAAAGGGAGCGUAGGCGGAUGUUUAAGUCGGGCGUUUAAAACCGGGGCCCAACCCCGGAGCGGCACCCGAAACUGGGCAUCUUGAAUAGGUCAGAGGCUGGUGGAAUUGGAGGUGUAGCGGUGGAAUGCGUAGAGAUCUCCAAGAACACCUAUUGCGAAGGCAGCCAGCUGGGACCAUAUUGACGCUGAGGCUCGAAAGCAUGGGGAGCAAACAGG